UACGUAGGGGGCAAGCGUUGUCCGGAAUCAUUGGGCGUAAAGCGCGUGUAGGCGGUCCGGUAAGUCCGCUGUGAAAGUCGGGGGCUCAACCCUCGGAUGCCGGUGGAUACUGUCGGGCUUGAGUACGGAAGAGGCGAGUGGAAUUCCUGGUGUAGCGGUGAAAUGCGCAGAUAUCAGGAGGAACACCAAUUGCGAGGGCAGCUCGCUGGGACGUUACUGACGCUGAGACGCGAAAGCGUGGGGAGCAAACAGG
rnacentral:rRNA from 1 species